rnacentral:rRNA from 1 species
GACAGAGGUGCCGAGCGUUAGGCGGAAUCACUGGGCUUAAAGCGUGUGUAGGCGGACCGUUAAGUACCUUGUGAAAUCCCUCGGCUCAACCGAGGAACUGCGCCCAAAACUGCCGUGCUCGAGGGAGACAGAGGUGAGCGGAACUUAGGGUGGAGCGGUGAAAUGCGUUGAUAUCCUAAGGAACACCGGUGGCGAAAGCGGCUCACUGGGUCUCUUCUGACGCUGAGGCACGAAAGCUAGGGUAGCGAACGGG